GGUGGUGGACUUCCGGAUCGUACUUAGGGAUUUGCCCAAACUUCCGGUGAAGGCAAGUAAAACAGUGAUAGUUAUUCCGUCUGUCGAAUGAAGAGUCUUAUACUUGAUUAUGUUUGUGCUAUUUGUGUUCGUAUUGAUAUUUCUAAUUGAGUCCCAUCGUUGGAAGAUAUUCAUGUUUUAUUGAUUACAUAUGUUGAGUUUGUGGUUUGAUCAUGUUACCCAUGUGGUUUAUUAUGUGGAAUGGGUGGAAGUAUAUGUCUAGCACAUUUUGUUUGGGAAGAACUCAUGUUGUUGACUUGCAUAAUGCAUUCAUCAUCCAUUGCAUUGAAGUUUCAUCGUGAUCUUAUGGUCCGAUCGUACCGGUACAAUGAGCAUCAUAUGUUGCCCGAGAAGGGGUAUGAUGCAGCUUCAUAUCCUUAGAGAUGUGAAGGCAGAAGUCAUUACUGCAUCUGUAGCCAUGUGCAUUCAUGGGAGAGGUGUGGAAUCUGUUAUGUGGAUGUGGACAGUGUGGAUCUUUACAUUGUGAUUCAUCUUGGCAUUAAGUAAUCAGUUACUUGCUUACUUGCUGCAAAUUAUUAUUCAAGAAGGAAGUUUUGAACUACGUGGUUGUUUAAGCACGGUUGGUUUACAUUGUCCAAUUGUUGUUUGCUCUGUUUACUUGCUGAGAUGUGUCAUCUCACUCUUGCAUUGUCUGAUGAAGGCACCUGAUUUCUGCUUUGGGAAAGAAGGGAUGUAGCAGCACGGCCACUACACCUUUAAUAAAGGAACCACUGCUUAAUAAUGUUGUUAAUCAGGGAGGGUCAAGUCUAGGGAAUUAUUAUGUUCUAGCCUUUCAUGGUAGUUGAGCUGAUUUUUUU
rnacentral:lncRNA from 1 species